rnacentral:rRNA from 1 species
AUUAGAUACCCUGGUAGUUUACGCCGUAAACGAUGGAUAUUAGGUGUAGGGGCUAUUGACCCCCUCUGUCCCGGUGUUAACACAAUAAGUAUUCCACCUGGGGACUAAGACUGCAAGCUUGAUACUCAAAGGAAUUGACGGGGGCCCGCACAAACUGUGGAGUAUGUGGUUUAAUUAGAUAGCUUACGCCGAAGUACCUUACCAGGGCUUGACAUCCCUUGACAGCAUUAGAGAUCGUGUUUUCGUUGGGGACAAGGAGACAGCUGGUGCUUGCUUGUAGUCAGCUCGUCUAGUGAGAUGACUGGGUUUACGUUCACGCAACGAGCGCUACUCCAUGUUGUUAGUUCCCAGCACGUAGUGCUGGGCACUCUCUCGAGAAUGGCCGGUGACAAAUCUGAGCGAAUGCUGGGGAGGACGUCUAAUCAUCUAUGCCCGUUAUGUCAUGGGAUACACUAGCGUACUACAUAUGCCUGUUACAGACGGUAGUGAACCCGAAAGUUGUAGCAUAUCGAUAGAUUUCAGCCGCAGAUGUCUGGACUUGAGGUCUCAAGCCACCCUAAGAAAUAGGACUUGCUAGUAUGGCAGGUCAGCUAUCACGCCUUGUAUAGAUCCCGGCUAUGUACACUACCGCCUAUUACACCAUGAGAGUG